AUGCUGGGGAAACUUAUGUGCUUGGGAGCCUUGCAUCCAGAGAAAUACGUGUUCAGCGUUGGCAUGUCAGACAGGAAGUUGAUCCAAUUGGAUGGUCAUUUCGCAGAAGGCGUACCAUACGCCGACAGGUUUACAAGACUCCAAAUCAGACUCCAUAUCAACUAUGACAUUUUGACAGUAACCACAAGCUGGUGAGAAGGCGAAUGGUUGUUCGUGGCUGUGUGGGUGGCUUUAGUCGAACUAUAAUAUAUCUAAGAUACUGUAACAACAAUAGAGCCUCUACUGUGUUGUGCCUGUUUGUAACGGGAGUGAAUCAUUUUGGUUUGCCUUCAAGAGUAAGGUGUGAUCAUGGAAUGAAAAAAACACUUGUGGCUCGUUUCAUGUUGGA